rnacentral:rRNA from 1 species
GACGAACGCUGGCGGCGUGCCUAAUACAUGCAAGUAGAACGCUGAAGCGAGGAGCUUGCUCUUCUUGGAUGAGUUGCGAACGGGUGAGUAACGCGUAGGUAACCUGCCUUGUAGCGGGGGAUAACUAUUGGAAACGAUAGCUAAUACCGCAUAACAAUGGAUGACACAUGUCAUUUAUUUGAAAGGGGCAAUUGCUCCACUACAAGAUGGACCUGCGUUGUAUUAGCUAGUAGGUGAGGUAAUGGCUCACCUAGGCGACGAUACAUAGCCGACCUGAGAGGGUGAUCGGCCACACUGGGACUGAGACACGGCCCAGGCUCCUACGGGAGGCAGCAGUAGGGAAUCUUCGGCAAUGGGGGCAACCCUGACCGAGCAACGCCGCGUGGGUGAAGAAGGUUUUCGGGUCGUAAAGCUCUGUUGUAAGUCAAGAACGGGUGUGGGAGUGGAAAGUUCACGCUGUGACGGUAGCUUACCAGAAAGGGACGGCUAACUACGUG